rnacentral:rRNA from 1 species
GAUGAACGCUGGCGGCGUGCCUAAUACAUGCAAGUCGAGCGAACGGACGAGAAGCUUGCUUCUCUGAUGUUAGCGGCGGACGGGUGAGUAACACGUGGAUAACCUACCUAUAAGACUGGGAUAACUUCGGGAAACCGGAGCUAAUACCGGAUAAUAUUUUGAACCGCAUGGUUCAAAAGUGAAAGACGGUCUUGCUGUCACUUAUAGAUGGAUCCGCGCUGCAUUAGCUAGUUGGUAAGGUAACGGCGUACCAAGGCAACGAUGCAUAGCCGACCUGAGAGGGUGAUCGGCCACACUGGAACUGAGACACGGUCCAGACUCCUACGGGAGGCAGCAGUAGGGAAUCUUCCGCAAAGGGCGAAAGCCUGACGGAGCAACGCCGCGUGAGUGAUGAAGGUCUUCGGAUCGUAAAACUCUGUUAUUAGGGAAGAACAUAUGUGUAAGUAACUGUGCACAUCUUGACGGUACCUAAUCAGAAAGCCGCGGCUAACUACGUG